AUUGAACGCUGGCGGAAUGCUUUACACAUGCAAGUCGAGCGGCAGCGCGGGGCAACCUGGCGGCGAGCGGCGAACGGGUGAGUAACAUAUCGGAACGUACCCAUUGGUGGGGGAUAACACAUCGAAAGAUGUGCUAAUACCGCAUACGACCUGAGGGUGAAAGGGGGGGAUCGCAAGACCUCUCGCCGUUGGAGCGGCCGAUAUCGGAUUAGCUAGUUGGUGGGGUAAAGGCUCACCAAGGCGACGAUCCGUAGCUGGUCUGAGAGGACGACCAGCCACAAUGGGACUGAGACACGGCCCAGACUCCUACGGGAGGCAGCAGUGGGGAAUUUUGGACAAUGGGGGCAACCCUGAUCCAGCCAUUCCGCGUGAGUGGAGAAGGCCUUCGGGUUGUAAAGCUCUUUCAGCAGGAACGAAACGGUGUGGGUUAAUACCCUGCAUCAAUGACGGUACCUGAAGAAGAAGCACCGGCUAACUACGUGCCAGCAGCCGCCGCCG
rnacentral:rRNA from 1 species